rnacentral:rRNA from 1 species
ACGUAUGGUGCAAGCGUUAUCCGGAUUUACUGGGUGUAAAGGGUGCGUAGGUGGCAAGGCAAGUCUGAAGUGAAAAUCCGGGGCUCAACCCCGGAACUGCUUUGGAAACUGUUUAGCUAGAGUACAGGAGAGGUAAGUGGAAUUCCUAGUGUAGCGGUGAAAUGCGUAGAUAUUAGGAGGAACACCAGUGGCGAAGGCGACUUACUGGACUGGUACUGACACUGAGGCACGAAAGCGUGGGGAGCAAACAG